UACAGAGGGUGCAAGCGUUAAUCGGAAUUACUGGGCGUAAAGGGCACGUAGGUGGCUGUAUAAGUUAGAUGUGAAAUUCCUGGGCUUAACCUGGGGUGGUCAUCUAAGACUGUAUAGCUUGAGUAUGGUAGAGGAAGGUGGAAUUUCCAGUGUAGCGGUGAAAUGCGUAGAUAUUGGAAGGAACAUCAGUGGCGAAGGCGGCCUUCUGGACUGAUACUGACACUGAGGUGCGAAAGCGUGGGUAGCGAACAGG
rnacentral:rRNA from 1 species